rnacentral:lncRNA from 1 species
AUUUUCUCUCUCUUCUCUUUCUGAAAGUUCAAAUAGAUGAUUGUUAGAUCCCACUCUGUCCUUCCUAUGCCUUAAUCUCUAUUUUGUUUUCUAUUAGUUCCCUCUUCAGCUAUAUGUCUUUUUUUUUUAAUUAAUAGAUUUGUUUGUUUGUUUGUUUGAGACAGGGUCUUGCACUGCUGCCUAGGCUAGAGUGCAGUGGUGCAAUCAGGGCUCACUGCAGCCUCACUCAACUUCCCAGUCUCAAGCCAUCCUCCUACCUCAGCCUCUGUUCCACUAAUCUACUUGUCAAUUUUUCCAGCAACACCACACCCUCCUGAUCACCAUAGCUUUAUGUUUCUUACAGCAACAACAAGAAACAAAUUUAUUAGCUAACCUAACCACUAAUGACGCAAGAGACAAUUCUAAGGACUUUCAAAACAGCAAAGUAGGAGCAGCUGCUACCUCUAGGGAUGAGGGAUGCAAUUGUCCAAUUAUUGGUGAAAUUGUCAUUUCAUGCUAUUGGCUAUUUGAAAUUCCUCCUCUAAUUUCAGAAUAAAUCACUGAAAUUGACAUCGGCCAGUCUGAAUUUCAAGAAAUUACCUGCUGAAGACAAGAGGGAUCUCUUCUUCAGAUUUGCAGUCUGGGGAAGACACAGCCUCUACUGUACUUUAGAACCUGAGAUAUGGUGGUGGAGGGAGCCCUGGGUCGAGUGGUAAGAUUCACCCUUAGGUCAGAGCUCCGGACUCCAGCCCCAUGCAACUUCAAAAUAUGACAAAUGUCUUGAAGGGGAGAUUGGCAUGCAGAUGAGGAAGGCCCUCUCGCCAACACAUUUGUAUUUCCUCUGUACUGUGAGACUGUGGGAGAUUUACUGCGACAUUUAGAAGCUUUCUUCCAAACUCCUGGGCCUCCGACACUGGUUCUAAACUCAGCAAAUGUUCUUUGGGAAAAACAGACAGUGCAUGUGAGGCCCCUCGAGUUUGGAAUUUAUGUCUCCAGCUUCACAUGGUCUCUCAAGUGCUUAUGCUUUUCUUCUCUCUGCCACCCACAUUCCCACAUCCCGCCCACCCCCCAACUUUCCUCCCUUCACCUUCCCAUGGAGACUUUUUGCCUGGGCUAAAUCUGAUCCUCAGCCCACUCUCAGAAUCGAUAAAUGCCCCUAGGUGAUUGUAAGCUCACCUAAGAUAUACUUUUUCUCCUCUAGAAUUUUAGUUUAUUAGAUUUUUCUAGUUGUCUUUGCAAAAGCGUUAACAGGCUCUGACUUCUGACAUUCAACUAGAUGUGGAAUAUCCAACCCCUAGCAUUUCAUGGAAUGUACUGACCAAGAUAAAAUGUGUUCUUAUUAAACAAUGCCAUUUCUUGACCACUUCUGUUUUUAGGAAUUGUGGUAUCUGAGUCAUGGUGAUUAGAAGUACUAAUGAAAUAAAUGGGAAAAUUAAACUUCUACUAACAUUUCAUAUAGUAGGGAGAUGUCUGUGAAGAAUUAUAACUGGUACAGAUUUUGUGUUUAUAAACAAGGAGACAGAAAAUGCAGAAAAUAAAAAAUAUUUUAUUUAGUUU